GCCUGUUUAUCAAAAACAUCGCUCCUUGUUUGUCAAAAAAUAAGGAGUCGGACCUGCCCGGUGAAUUUUUAACGGCCGCGGUACUCUGACCGUGCAAAGGUAGCAUAAUAAUUUGCCUUAUAAUUGAAGGCUCGUAUGAAUGGUUUGACGAGAAUAAAGCUGUCUCUUUAGAGUUUAAUAUAAAUUUAUUUAUAGGUGAAAAAGCCCUAUAUGAGAUUGAAAGACAAGAAGACCCUAUCGAGCUUAAAAAGAUUUAGUAGGUUAAAGCUAAUUUACCCUAAAAAGUUAUCUACUAUACAUUUUAGUUGGGGCGACUGAGGAACAAUUAAAGCUUCCUUAAUUUGUUCACUAAUGCUUAUUGGCUAUGAUCCAAGCGUAUCUUGAUUAAUAAAAUUAGUUACCGUAGGGAUAACAGCAUUAUCUUUUUUGAGAGCUCUUAUCGAAAAAAAGGUUUGUGACCUCGAUGUUGGACCAGAAUGUCCUGAAGAUGCAGCAGUCUUUAAGGGUUGGUCUGUUCGACCAUUAAUAUUCUACGUGAUCUGAGUUCA
rnacentral:rRNA from 1 species